UUCCUUAAACUAAAUUUUGAUACUUUUUUGAUUCAUCAUGGUAAUGCAACUUGUGGUGGGGUGCCCAAGAAUUCUAUUGGUACUAUUGUGUUUGGUUUCUUUACUGAAAUCGAGGCGUCCUCCGUUAAUAUGAUUUAGUUGAUAGUUAUUGAGAUGGGAAUUAAAUUGUUAGCUAUUAGAGAUUUUGCUGAUAUUUUUGUGGAAUCUAACUCCAAGUACACAAUUAACCUUUUUUUUGCAAUGAUUGUAAUCAUCGUCUUAGAUAUGCUUGAAUUCUUGUCUCAUGUUUUAAUGGAGGUCAAUCAAGCUGACAUGUUUUUCACUAUAAUUUAUAUUUGUUUGAUUUGUUUAUUUGUGAGUUAGUUUUUAAUUUUGCUUCCUUUAGCCUCUGUUUGUUUCCGCGGAAAGACUAUUGCUGCAGAAAGAAAAGAGGGGUCACUUGUGUUUGUUUCGAAGGAAAAGCGAGGAAGGAAAAGCGAGGAAAAGCGGGAGAGACGUACGGAAUGAUCUUCGCUCAUCAACGGAGAAAGGAGGGGAAAUCUGGGGAAAGCCAUGUCAGUUAUGUGAAAAAGACCAACCUGCCCUCGACUACGUGGAAGCAUCUUUCUACUGUUGCUCUGCAUGCAUGCACAGAAAGGACAUGCAAUUUCUACUGCUGCUCUGCAUGGAAGGACAGAAAGCUCAUGCAACACAUGCAAACUCACGGGGGCACAGUUGAAGGUAGUAAAAGCUACCCAUCUACCCCAUUAUGUACCUCCAGUUUAAAGCACUCAAUAUGUGCGUAUAAGGACCUCCAUGAAAGCUCUCCAAGGACGUCGCUCUACACAGGCUGAAGAAGGUCACAGAAGCUUUCCCCGUAGUUUCAACGUGCUGCCCUCCCAGAUUUGAUUCUCCGACUCUCCGACGAAGCCGGCCGUCAUCUUCUCCGACGACCUCCCGAAGGCAAAGGGCCAAGUCCGACGACGUGAAACCGAGAAAGUCAGAGAUGAAGAUAUGGAUGUUAAUCAUUUAGAUAACGAAGAUAGUUUCGACGCGAACUUAAUUGCACAGAUACAAAGUCAGGUACAAAUGCAAACCCAAGUAGGAGCCAUGACAAUCCUUUGUCUUGUAGCUUUUGGGUUAAAUAUGUUGUCUACUGUACGUUGUACAUCAAGUCAUAUUAGAGAAUUCGUUUCUCAAAAAGAACGUCGUAGGCACGAGUUGAUGUCGUAUCUUAUUCACACCGAACAAUGUCGACACAUUAUUUGCAUGGGACCUAUGGCAUUCAUUACAUUGUGCGAACGAAUAAGAGGAACUGGAUUGGUUAAGGAUGCCUUCCGAUCUAUAGUGGAGGAACAAGUGGCUAAAUUUCUCCAUAUUGUUGGACAUAAUGUCAAAAAUCGAUAUGUUUCAUUUUUUUUCCAUCGCUCUGGUCAAACCGUUAGUCGACACUUUCAUAACGUAUUGAAUGCCAUAAUUAUGUUCGAGGGAGAGUUGUUAGUUCAACCAUCAAGAGUAGAUGUGCAGCCUUACAUUCAAAACAACAGUCGAUUUUAUCCAUACUUUAAGGUAAUCAAAAUAAAAACCCAACAAUAUUUUUAGCUAAACGUUAUCAGUCAUGAUUAAUAACAAAAUUGUACUAUCUCUGUUUUACUUUAUAGGAUUGUUUAGGGGCCAUAGAUGGAACUCAUGUCCGAGUUAAAGUGCCACGAUCUGAUGCGGCCCGAUUUCGUGGAAGAAAAGAUUGGCCAACACAAUGUUUUCGCAGCUUGUGAUUUUGACAUGAAAUUUACAUAUGUUUUAGGAGGGUGGGAAGGGACAGCAUCAGAUUCAAGAAUAUUAAAGGAUGCACUGAGUAGACAGGAUCCACUAAUCAUACCACAAGGUAAAUACUACUCGGGGGAUGCUAGAUUUAUGUUAAAGAGACAAAUACUUACGCCGUAUCGAGGAGUAAGAUACCACCUUAAAGAGUAUUCCCAAAGAGGUCCACAGAAUCCACGAGAAUUGUUUAACCACCGACAUUCGUCACUAAGAAAUGUGAUCGAAAGAACAUUUGGUGUAUUGAAGAAAAGAUUUCCCAUAAUAGCAAGUGGAACAGAGCCUCAUUAUUCUUUGGAUACAAUGACGAAUAUAAUACUAGCAUGUUGCAUUCUGCACAAUUUUCUUCGAGGGGUUGACAAUGAUGACUCCCUGUUAGCUGAAGUGGAUCGAGAGUUGAUGGAAGAAGAUGUGGAUACCAUG